rnacentral:rRNA from 1 species
UACAGAGGCCCCAAGCGUUACUGAGAAUCACUGGGUUUAAAGGGUGCGUAGGUGGCGCGUUAAGUCCGUUGUGAAAUCCCUUGGCUCAACCAAGGAACUGCUUCGGAUACUGGCGUGCUUGAGGCUAGUAGAGGUCACUGGAACUGACGGUGGAGCGGUGAAAUGCGUAGAUAUCGUCAGGAACGCCAAUGGUGAAGACAGGUGACUGGGCUAGUUCUGACACUGAGGCACGAAAGCGUGGGGAGCGAACGGG